rnacentral:rRNA from 1 species
GUCUUUUUGAGUAUAAUUUAAAGUCUAAUCUGCCCACUGAUAAAUAUUAAAGGGCUGCAGUAUAUUGACUGUACAAAGGUAGCAUAAUCAUUAGUUUUUUAAUUGAAAACUUGUAUGAAGGAUUUGAUGAAGUAUAAACUGUCUCUUAGUUAUUAUUAUAACUUUAUUUUUUAGUUAAAAAGCUAAAAUAAUUUUAAAAGACGAGAAGACCCUAUAGAGUUUUAUAUUUAAUUGUAUUUUAAAAAUAUAUAUAAAUUAAUGUUAAAAUAUAAAUGAAUAUUGUAUUGGGGUGAUAGAAAAAUUAAAAUAACUUUUUUUAAAAAUUAAACAUAAAUAAAUGAUAAUAGGAUCCAUAAAUAAUGAUUAUAAGAAAAAAUUACCUUAGGGAUAACAGCGUAAUAUUUUUUUUUAGUUCAAAUAAAAAAAAAAGUUUGCGACCUCGAUGUUGGAUUAAGAUAAAAUUUAAAUGCAAAAGUUUAAAGUUUUGAUCUGUUCGAUCAUUAAAAUCUU